rnacentral:rRNA from 1 species
UACGUAGGGUCCGAGCGUUGUCCGGAAUUACUGGGCGUAAAGCGCGCGCAGGCGGCUUCCCAAGCGCCACGUGAAAGCCCGGGGCUCAACCCCGGAAUUGCCUUUAAGACUGCAUCGCUUGAAUCCGGGAGAGGUGAGUGGAAUUCCGAGUGUAGAGGUGAAAUUCGUAGAUAUUCGGAAGAACACCAGUGGCGAAGGCGGCUCACUGGACCGGCAUUGACGCUGAGGUGCGAAAGCGUGGGGAGCAAACAGG